rnacentral:lncRNA from 1 species
UUAUGACAUUCAAACACAUGUUCAACCUUUCUCUCCCACUCUAAAUAUAAUUCAGGAUCAUUUUUACCUUGGAAUGCAGGGAUUGUCAUCUUAAUACUUCCCAAAUGACUGUCUUUUCUUGAUUCAUCUCUUUGCCUCCUUCCAUUACUUCUUCCAUCCGAAUACUCCUCUUCUUCUCCUUCUUCAAACAUCCGCCCCCUCAAA